UACGGAGGGUGCUAGCGUUGUUCGGAAUUACUGGGCGUAAAGGGCGCGUAGGCGGCCGUUUGCGUCGGAUGUGAAAGCCCGGGGCUCAACCUCGGAACGGCAUUCGAUACGGGACGGCUGGAGACCGGGAGAGGAGAGUGGAAUAGCCAGUGUAGAGGUGAAAUUCGUAGAUAUUGGGAGGAACACCAGUGGCGAAGGCGGCGCUCUGGGCUGGAACUGACGCUGAGGAGCGAAAGCGUGGGGAGCGAACAGG
rnacentral:rRNA from 1 species